UUCUGUUAUCCUGGAGGUACAUGACUUGUUGCGUGGGGUCCUUACACUAUGAGACCCUUUGUAAGCAGAAACUAAGGUUCUGACGUGGUAAGGUCAAAAACAGGGAGGCUUCGAAGCUGAAGUUGACCAUUUCUGUAUUUUCACGCUCAUCAACUAGUUGUUUAUGGGAUAUCGACAUCGAAUGCUGGGUCUAUUCAUUAUUUGGUAAAAGUUGUGGAGUUGAAGACUGGGAGGACCUUGAAGAUGAAAGAAUGAAUAGGAGAGACAUCAUCUAAAUCAGUGCAUUUUGCUAAUUAUCACCGGUCAUAACUAACAGGUUAAAGUUUCUGAGAAUAUUUCUUGGAUUGUAUGAUAAGUCAAGAUUGUGAUUUAUAAU
rnacentral:lncRNA from 1 species